rnacentral:snoRNA from 1 species
AGCCUCCAGAUUCCUUACGCUUCUGAUCUACAUAUCGGUCUGAGUGGCUGAAAAAGGAGGAAAAGUAAAGUGGAAGUGGACUUGGACUCUUCAGAGACAGACGAGUUCAUUUCAAACAUAA